UGAAGCCCCUACAUUGUGUUUGCAAUAAGUACUUUUACACAAAUGUCAUGUGUUUCAAAGUUUCUGAGUGAUUAUGAUCCACUUUUAUUCAUUGGUUUCAAUUCUAUUACGAAUUAACGAAAAAAGUUUAACGGUAUGAUGGAUCCUGAUUUGAUCAGAAUCUCGCUCAGGAACAAAUUAGUCGCAUGUCUCCUGCUGAUAUGGCUCGGAUCCAACAACAGGUGGUUACGACAGAGAUGGACCACAAUUGUACAUGCUUGAACCUUCUGGUGUUUCUUAUAGGUACUUCGUUGCUGCGAUUGGAAAGGGCAUGUUGCGAAAUCCUGCUGAAGGUUAAGCAAGAUUGGAGUAAAUCUUGCAUGGAACUUCUCUUACUACACAUAGCUUAUAUGUAGACAAUUAUUAGAAUGGUUGAUAACGUUAAGCUUUCGAGCCCUUCUCCAGUACCUUGCAACCGUUCAUGACUCAAUCAACAUGUGUGGUUUGCAAAAUACUUAGAUGUAUGGUUGUUUGGCCUUAGGUUUAUGAUCUAUUAUGUACUAUAAACAUCAUUCUAUAUUUUAUGUAAGCACUAGCA